CCUGGUGAUUAUAGCGAGGGGCCCGCACCCGAUCCCAUCCCGAACUCGGCCGUGAAAACCCUCUGCGCCAAUGGUACUGUGUCUUAAGGCACGGGAGAGUAGGUCGUCGCCAGGU
rnacentral:rRNA from 1 species